AACGAACGCUGGCGGCAGGCUUAACACAUGCGAGUCGAGCGCCCCGCCAGGGGAGCGGCCGACGGGUGAGUACCGCGUGGGAACGUACCUUUUGGUUCGGAACAACUCCGGGAAACUGGAGCUAAUACCGGAUAAGCCCUAACGGGGAAAGAUUUAUCGCCGAAAGAUCGGCCCGCGUCUGAUUAGCUAGUUGGUGAGGUAACGGCUCACCAAGGCGACGAUCAGUAGCUGGUCUGAGAGGAUGAUCAGCCACACUGGGACUGAGACACGGCCCAGACUCCUACGGGAGGCAGCAGUGGGGAAUAUUGGACAAUGGGCGCAAGCCUGAUCCAGCCAUGCCGCGUGAGUGAUGAAGGCCUUAGGGUUGUAAAGCUCUUUUGUCCGGGAAGAUAAUGACUGUACCGGAAGAAUAAGCCCCGGCUAACUUCGUG
rnacentral:rRNA from 1 species